rnacentral:rRNA from 1 species
GCAGUCGAGCGAGAGGAGUUCCUUCGGGAACAAUCUAGCGGCGGACGGGUGAGUAACACGUGGGCAACCUGCCUUGUAGAGGGGAAUAGCCUUCCGAAAGGAAGAUUAAUACCGCAUAACAUUACAUUUUCGCAUGAAGAAGUAAUUAAAGGAGCAAUCCGCUACAAGAUGGGCCCGCGGCGCAUUAGCUAGUUGGUGAGGUAACGGCUCACCAAGGCGACGAUGCGUAGCCGACCUGAGAGGGUGAUCGGCCACAUUGGGACUGAGACACGGCCCAGACUCCUACGGGAGGCAGCAGUGGGGAAUAUUGCACAAUGGGGGAAACCCUGAUGCAGCAACGCCGCGUGAGUGAUGAAGGUUUUCGGAUCGUAAAGCUCUGUCUUCAGGGACGAUAAUGACGGUACCUGAGGAGGAAGCCACGGCUAACUACGUGCCAGCAGCCGCGGUAAUACGUAGGUGGCGAGCGUUGUCCGGAUUUACUGGGCGUAAAGGGAGCGUAGGCGGAUUUUUAAGUGAGAUGUGAAAUACCCGGGCUCAACUUGGGUGCUGCAUUUCAAACUGGAAGUCUAGAGUGCAGGAGAGGAGAGUGGAAUUCCUAGUGUAGCGGUGAAAUGCGUAGAGAUUAGGAAGAACACCAGUGGCGAAGGCGACUCUCUGGACUGUAACUGACGCUGAGGCUCGAAAGCGU